AGUGAACGCUGGCGGCGUGCCUAAUACAUGCAAGUCGAACGAAGUGGCGCACGGGCGAGUAAUAUACAGUUAAUCUGCCCUACAUAGAGAAACAACAGACGGAAACGGCCGCUAAUACCUCAUAGUGUAGGAUGAGACUAUAUCGUAUCAGCUAGUUGGUAAGGUAAUGGCGUAUCAAGGGUAUGACGCGUAACUGGUCUGAGAGGAUGCUCAGACACAUUGGAACUGAGACACAGUCCGAACUCCUACGCGAUGCAGCAGUGAGGAAUAGUGCGCAAUGGUGGAAACCCUGACGCAGCUACGCCGCGUGGAGGAUGUCACUUUUCGGAGCGUAAACUCCUUUUAUCAGGAAAGCGGUACCUGAUGAAUAAGCACCGGCUAACUCCGUGCCAGCAGCCGCGGUAAUAC
rnacentral:rRNA from 1 species